rnacentral:rRNA from 1 species
GAUGAACGCUGGCGGCGUGCCUAAUACAUGCAAGUCGAGCGAACGGACGAGAAGCUUGCUUCUCUGAUGUUAGCGGCGGACGGGUGAGUAACACGUGGAUAACCUACCUAUAAGACUGGGAUAACUUCGGGAAACCGGAGCUAAUACCGGAUAAUAUUUUGAACCGCAUGGUUCAAAAGUGGAAGACGGUCUUGCUGCCACUUAUAGAUGGAUCCGCGCUGCAUUAGCUAGUUGGUAAGGUAACGGCUUACCAAGGCAACGAUGCAUAGCCGACCUGAGAGGGUGAUCGGCCACACUGGAACUGAGACACGGUCCAGACUCCUACGGGAGGCAGCAGUAGGGAAUCUUCCGCAAUGGGCGAAAGCCUGACGGAGCAACGCCGCGUGAGUGAUGAAGGUCUUCGGAUCGUAAAACUCUGUUAUUAGGGAAGAACAUAUGUGUAAGUAACUGUGCACAUCUUGACGGUACCUAAUCAGAAAGCCACGGCUAACUACGUG